rnacentral:rRNA from 1 species
UACGUAGGGGGCAAGCGUUGUCCGGAUUUAUUGGGCGUAAAGAGCGUGUAGGCGGCCAAACAGGUCAGCUGUGAAAACUCGAGGCUCAACCUCGAGACGUCGGUUGAAACCGUAUGGCUAGAGUCCGGAAGAGGAGAGUGGAAUUCCCGGUGUAGCGGUGAAAUGCGCAGAUAUCGGGAAGAACACCCGUGGCGAAGGCGGCAUCCUGGACCGGCAUUGACGCUGAGGCGCGAAAGCCAGGGGAGCAAACGGG